GACGAACGCUGGCGGCGUGCUUAACACAUGCAAGUCGAACGGAAAGGCCCUGCUUUUGUGGGGUGCUCGAGUGGCGAACGGGUGAGUAACACGUGAGUAACCUGCCCUUGACUUUGGGAUAACUUCAGGAAACUGGGGCUAAUACCGGAUAGGAGCUCCUGCUGCAUGGUGGGGGUUGGAAAGUUUCGGCGGUUGGGGAUGGACUCGCGGCUUAUCAGCUUGUUGGUGGGGUAGUGGCUUACCAAGGCUUUGACGGGUAGCCGGCCUGAGAGGGUGACCGGCCACAUUGGGACUGGGGUACGGCCCAGACUCCUACGGGAGGCAGGAGUGGGGAAUAGUGCACCAUGGGCGGAAGCCUGAUGCAGGAACGCCGGGUGCGGGAUGACGGCCUUCGGGUUGGAAACCGCUUUCGCCUGUGACGAAGCGUGAGUGACGGUAAUUGGUAAAGAAGCACCGGCUAACUACGUG
rnacentral:rRNA from 1 species